AUUCAAUGCUCGAUUGUCAAAUAUAAUAUUCUGAAACCCAAAAAGAAAAUCAUGAUAUCUUCUUCUUUUUUUUCCCAUCUUUUCUAAAAUUAAAAAACAAAGACCAAGAUCGAUUUUGCUUUUCCCAUAUGUUGAUUCGACUGCUUUACCUCCAAUGCAGGUAAAGAUGACAACUCGAGCAGUGAAAACCGGUUUGUUCGCUGGAUUGACAAAGGACAUGUCGUCACCAGACAUGAGCUAGCUCCUCGUCCCAAUUCUCGGAAAGGGUGAAGGAGAUGAAUUUGGUAAGAGAACUGGAAAAAGAUUUGAAGAUUGCAAAUGUUAUCUGCAAGGUGUCGGUUUCAUAUUCUUAACCUAAAUUUACAUAAACGAUAGAGUGGAUUAGUUUUCUAUCUUAUUUGUUACUGGUUUGAACUUAGUUUUGCCCCUUUUUGUCCUUGUGUGUUUCUUGCUGGAAUGGAAGAUGAAAUUUGGCUUCUUUUAUGAAUGAGGCUUCAAGAGAUUUUAUUGUACACACUCAUUCCAAAAAAAAACAAGCUCUUCUGGUAGAAUUCUCUAUGAUAUAUUUUA